rnacentral:rRNA from 1 species
UACGUAGGGUGCAAGCGUUGUCCGGAAUUAUUGGGCGUAAAGAGCUCGUAGGCGGUUUGUCGCGUCUGCUGUGAAAACUCGGGGCUUAACCCCGGGCCUGCAGUGGGUACGGGCAGACUAGAGUGCGGUAGGGGAGACUGGAAUUCCUGGUGUAGCGGUGAAAUGCGCAGAUAUCAGGAGGAACACCGGUGGCGAAGGCGGCCCCCUGGGCUGGUACUGACGCUGAUGCGCGAAAGCGUGGGUAGCAAACGGG